UGGCUCAGAACGAACGCUGGCGGCAGGCCUAACACAUGCAAGUCGAGCGCCCUUUCGGGGGAGCGGCGGACGGGUGAGUAACGCGUGGGAAUAUGCCCUUCUCUACGGAAUAGCCUCGGGAAACUGAGAGUAAUACCGUAUACGCCCUGUGGGGGAAAGAUUUAUCGGGGAAGGAUUAGCCCGCGUUGGAUUAGGUAGUUGGUGGGGUAAUGGCCUACCAAGCCGACGAUCCAUAGCUGGUUUGAGAGGAUGAUCAGCCACACUGGGACUGAGACACGGCCCAGACUCCUACGGGAGGCAGCAGUGGGGAAUCUUAGACAAUGGGGGCAACCCUGAUCUAGCCAUGCCGCGUGAGUGAUGAAGGCCUUAGGGUUGUAAAGCUCUUUCAG
rnacentral:rRNA from 1 species